AGUAUAUCGGAAAAGUGCCAACGAAGGAUUUUAGCGGACUGUCUGCGAUUUGUUUCAUAGCCCAGGACUUCGAUAAUUUGCUCAGGAGAAUGGAAAAGCCCAUCCAGCCUCAGCUGCAGUCAACCAUGUCCAAGAGCGCAGAAGGUCCGUCAGAGGACCUCUCCAAACUUCCGGAUGAGGAGCUUCUGAAAUGGAGCAAGGAGGAGCUGGUGCGCUGGCUGCGCAGAGCCGAAGCCGAGAAGAUGAGUGUUAUAGUGGACCACAGCAAUCUCAUCCGAGAGGUGAACCGCAGGCUUCAGCAGCACCUGAACGAGAUACGGGGUCUGAAGGAGGUGAAUCAGAAGCUCCAGGAGGACAACCAGGAGCUAAGAGAUCUCUGCUGCUUUCUGGAUGAUGAUCGGCAAAAAGGGAAGAAGGUGUUGAGGGAGUGGCAGCACUUGGGCCAUUACAGUGCAGGGAUCAUGCGUAAGGAAGUGACGUUGUUCCUGCAGAAGCUGAAAGAGCUAGAACAGAAGCAGGAGGAAGUGGUGAGGGAGAACCUAGAACUGAGAGAGCUGUGCUUCAUGCUGGAUGAGGAGAAGGGCUUAUCCACUGGUGGGCCAUCAGGUACCGGGGGACCAGCCGGCUGCAGGAAUUCAAUUGAUAGCCAGAGCAGCCUGUCUCAUGCCAGCGGACCUGGGCCUGGACUACUAAGGGAUGUGGGUGAUGGAAGCAGUACCUCCAGCGCGGGCAGCACCGACAGCCCUGACCAUCUCCCACAUAAACAGCAGCUGUUGGGUGGCCCAGCUGGAGGCAGUCCUGACAGCCUACUUAAGCCAGGCUCAGGGGAGGAGGCACCAGGUCCUGAGCAUGCAGGCCGCAGACACAGCACCAGCCCAGAGUACGCUGCGCAUACCUUUCCCCAGGUGUGCCGGUCUCGCUGCGGGUCCUUCUCCAGUCCAGAGCAUAAGUGUCUGCGGGGGCUCAGUCCAGAGAAACUCUUCAAAAGUCUGUCCAGAGGAAGUCCAGAGCAGUUCUCGAAACACUUGCUGGUGUCCUCUCAGCCGGCUGGCAGCCCUGACCUUUUCCAGAAGCACAGGGGGAGCAUGGGUAGCGUGUGUGGGAGUCCAGAGCCGAAACAGAUUCUAUCAGGGACACCAGAGCACCUACAAAAGGGCCGCAUUAUAUCUGGGAGCCCUGAGAUGUUAAGGCAUCAGUACAGUGCCAGUCAUGAGCAUGUCAAGAUUGGUAGUCCGGGCUGGGAGGUGGCACAGAAGAGGCCAGGUGGAGAGGAGAUGUCACCUCAUCACCGGAGCAUCUAUAACGGUAUGAACGGUGGGUCUGACUGGAGCCUGCUGUAGCACCCACAGUGACAUACAUGGAGAUCCAUUUGAAUACACCACAUGCAGAGGGGAUGGUCAUCCUUCAUCAUGGAGGGCAUUAUUUCCAGAAAAGCCCCAUUCCCAGCCAAUUCAGCCAGCCAUGUUAUGCAUUUAGUUUAGUUUUUCUUUGCUCAGUUCAGGAGAGGCAUUGAGAAGAUAGAGCAGGGGCUUUAUUGUCUGACUAGAGCAGAACAUCUCAUCGCUGGUAAAGGUCCUUGGUGUCCAGUCUUGGUCCUCUUGGGCCAUGAUUUUGCAGGCUUUAGCUGUUUCCUGUCAAUCAUGCCUCUGAACCUGUGCCUCCUAAGCCAUUGUUUUAUGCUCUGGAACCCAGAUAAGGGAACACUGUAAUCAAUCAAAGACCAAAAUGCUCAGAGGCCCAUCGAAAGCCAGAAGACAGUGCUGCCCAGCAGGACCAGGAGUGGACACCAUUGUAUUUGCCAUAUGCACCCAGCUCUGAUAUCGGCUGGCUGUUGCACGAGCUCCUGUAGAAGUGUCAAGCUUUGGGACAGUUUUGAUGCCUCCUGACCAUUGCCUUCACUGGAUCCAGUGUUGGGGCCCAGGCCAUGAAAGAGGAUCCCUUUGCUUUCAAGUCACCUGCACUGACAGAGAGAUGGAAGGAGAGGAUGAAAGAAAAACAAUUCAGUAGCAGCCAGCAUCUACCAUUGCCCCCACCACUGUGUUUCCCGGUCUACUAAUACAACUAACAGCACUGCACAACAAAGGCCUGGAAAAGGGAUUCCUUUGGAGUCAAACAGUUGGAAAUAACAUGAUUGUCAAAAGGAUUGCUCAAAUAGGAGAGUUGUUGAUCUCUCUUUUGCCAACAAAAUAGACCUACCUCCUUUGAACGAAAGCAGACGAAAAAAAAAGUUUAAAAUGGGACUGAGAGGCUAUUACCCAUUUUGUUUACAGUUGCCACAAACAGAUGCAAUCAAUCUGUCAAAACCUUUGCACACAUAGGCAGACAGCUAUUAUCAGACCGGCCUUAUGCAUCUGAGAAUAAGGGCAUAAUUUCUUAAGCUGUGUUAAGGUAGGAGCAAUACUAAUUGUCAGUGGCUCACAGGUUUAAUUAGACAUUCUGAAUUUUAGCUGCAAUGUCUAUGAGGGUGACAUAUCGAUCACUGCCUGGCUUUCAUUAAAGGAAUAGUUUACCCAAAAAUGUAAAUUCUAUCAUCAUUUACUCACCCUCAUGUUGUUCCAACCCUGUAUAACAUUCAAUCUUGUGUGGUGUUAUCUAGCACAGUAUUUCCCAACCAUUGUGUGUGCCGCGGAAAAUUAUAAAAUUCCACAAAAUAAAUAAACGGAUGAAAAAAAAAAUUCAGGGAUCCAAACUCCUCACUUUUCGGAGAAAUUUGCCAUUUUGAAACCAUAAUCGGUCACUUUUGUGAUUGUGAAGAGCAAUGAUUAAUGUGCAAAAGUGACUGAUAUUUAUACGCUUUAAGGGUCUUUCACAUGACUCGCGUCAGCGCUGCAGAACACACUGAAGUCUGUGAAGUGACGCCACUUUACACCAAAGUGUUUUUCACACAUACACGUUUUUGCUUCACCAUUAAUGUCUUUGAGAGUACUAACCAACAAGAAAUAUUUAAAAACUGUCCAAAUUUGUGAAGAGACAUUGAAUGUCUCAUAAUUUCUUUUAAUUACUACUUUAUCGUUUACGAAUAUCAGAGACCCCAGUUAUUGAACUAAUUUAAAUUUACCAAGAAAACGCUUAGACCUAAACAUAAACGAGUCAUUUUAUUACUUUAUGCUAUCAAAGCAAUUGCAAGCUUUUUUUCUCUCUUUCAAAUAUGUUUUCAAUAUGUAUUGUGCACAUCUCCUGCUUUUUAUGUGGCAAACUCAUACAAUCGCCCAUCUGUGACGCUUUCUGCAACUCUUGUCAUGUGGAGGGCAACGAGGUGCUUGAUGCUGGCGUUGAACGGAGCAUUGAUGUCUCGACUCAACUCAUGUGAAAUGCGCUUUACAAUGACGAAAGAACAUUAUUGAAACUCAGAAUUAUUAUUAUUUGUCUAUUAUUGUGGUCUUUUCUGAUAAAAGCCAUGCUCAGCAGUUUAAAUAGGCUACUGUAGGAAAAUGAUACUGUAGAUCUGCUUUGUGUUUAUAAUUCUGAAGUUAGUAGAUUUGUAGCCAUGCAAGUUUUAAUAAAGGAGAAGGUAAGGACGUUAUUGAAACUCACUAUUAUUAGACUAUUACUGUUGUCUUUUUGGAUGAAAAAUAAUGCUCAGACUGAAGCAAGAUUAUAGAUCUGCUUUGUUCUUUUAAUGCUUAAACACUAUAAAUUCUCUUGGUAGAUUUCAGUCAUGAACAGCUCAAAAUGAUUCACUGACUCACUCAUCGCACAUAAGAUGCUCAAUUGUCGCCACCUAGUGACAUUUCCAGAAGGGGUCACUGAACUAAUCAGUUAAUAAAAUUGAACAAAUUUGUGAAACAGAAGCAAGCCUCACCAAAAUACUCUUUAUUUUGCAGCUAAUUCUGCACAAUUGUAAACUUGAAUCACUAAAAUAGCUGGAAUUGGUGCUUUUAGCUUAUUCUUUAAAAAAUAUAUCCCAGAAAAAAUGUUCGUGGACCAGUGAUUGUCUUACCUUUUUCGCCCCUCAUGAGUUUGCAUCCCUGUAAUUUGUUGUGGCAUUGCAAGAACAAGUCUUCAAAUUGGAAAAGAAGCAAAUUUGUUGUUUUUUCAUUACCCAUUUAGCGCUCUUGCCACCUGUGACCUCACACAGUGUAGCCUGAAAACAUGGACAAGUUCUUGAAAAGGAAAAAUAUUGACGAUGGUUAGCCUAUGUGGGAUAGUGGUGUGCCGUGACAGAAAAAAAGUUUGGGAAACACUGAUCUAGCAGAAUGUCUAAGCUGCUCUUUUCCACACAACGAAAGUGAGUAGUAACCACAGCUGUCCCUGGUCCCCAUUCCCUUUCAGUAUGCUAAAUAUCUCCUUUUGUAGUUAUCUCCUUUUGUGUUCCACAUAAGAAAGCCAUACAGGUUUGGAACAACAUGAUGGUGAGUAAAUGUUGACAGAACUUUUAUCUUGGGUGAACUAUCCCUUUAAGAGCUGUGUGAGGACCUAUAAUUUUCUGUGUUGACAACAAUACGGCAAUGUAAGAUGUCUACUGAUGAAACAGUUACUGAAAAAUUUGCAUUGAAACAGGAGGUGCUCCAAAACACUGUCUCCUGUCUCUCAAUAUCCCAUAACUGAUGUUUUUGUAGACACGGUGUUGUGUUAUGUGAAAGAAGCACACAGAAAGCUACUGCUGCGCGCAAGACUUGUGUAGCCAGACGCUUUUCUUGCAUCUUGUAUUUUUGCCCUCAUUGCUGCUGAAAUCAAGCAGCCAAAUCACAAAGCUAUAUAUAAGCAUCGCAAAUCCUGACCAUUUCCAUGCUUUGUGAAAUUGCAAAACCCAUUUUAUGGUUCACCAGUAAAAUGGGAUUUUGUUCUGUCUGUCUGUGGAUUCAAAAGGAAGAGCAGCCUUAUUGCUCUGUUAGGGACCAGAUCUGCCUGGUUUCAGUUGAAACAGCUAGCUUUAGGCUUUUAGGCCCUCAAUGCACAUUCUUUGUUUUUGGACCAUAAUUGAGGUGCAAAAUAACUUGUCUGCAUACAAACUUCCUUCUGUCCCGCUGGACUACAUAGACCAUCAUGCCUCUAUUUUUAGCAGGUAUUUGAUUAAACAUCUUCUGGCUGACAGUACAAACCAUACCCACAUUUGUUUCCCGUAUUGUUGCAUCUAAAUGAAUGGGAUCUGAUACUAACAUUUGAGCCUUCACUGAACAUUAAAGACUUUUCUAACUCAGCCAACAUUACACACCUUGUAAACCAUCAAUCCUUCUGUAUACUGUCAGUAUUAAAUACAGCAAAAGCUGCUUGAUAAGCUCAUUAACCUGUGAUCUUUUUUAUUUUUGUUGACAGAUUAUGAGAGAGAACAAAUACUAAUAUAUAAAACGUUUAUGUUUUUAAAAAGUAAAGAGUAGUUUAAGGCUAAGUUUUUUAUAUAUGAUAAUUAUCAUUAUUAUUUUUGACGUACUGGUAUUAUUGAAUCUAUAAAUAUUAU